rnacentral:rRNA from 1 species
AGUGAACGCUGGCGGUAGGCCUAACACAUGCAAGUCGAACGGCAGCACAGUAAGAGCUUGCUCUUACGGGUGGCGAGUGGCGGACGGGUGAGGAAUACAUCGGAAUCUACUUUUUCGUGGGGGAUAACGUAGGGAAACUUACGCUAAUACCGCCUACGACCUACGGGUGAAAGCAGGGGAUCUUCGGACCUUGCGCGAUUGAAUGAGCCGAUGUCGGAUUAGCUAGUUGGCGGGGUAAAGGCCCGCCAAGGCGACGAUCCGUAGCUGGUCUGAGAGGAUGAUCAGCCACACUGGAACUGAGACACGGUCCAGACUCCGACGGGAGGCAGCAGUGGGGAAUAUUGGACAAUGGGCGCAAGCCUGAUCCAGCCAUACCGCGUGGGUGAAGAAGGCCUUCGGGUUGUAAAGCCCUUUUGUUGGGAAAGAAAAGCAGCAGGUUAAUACCCCGCUGUUCUGACGGUACCCAAAUAAUAAGCACCGGCUAACUUCGUG